rnacentral:lncRNA from 10 species
GUUCAAUGGGUGAAUAAGUACAAGCUUCCCUUGAAACAGUGGUUCGCAGAUUUUUUUUCAGUGACUCUUUUACUAACAAAAUGCCGCAUAUCCCCUACCCUUUUUCCUGGUAAUAAGUGCUUUUCUUUUCGUUUCUUUCUUUCUUUCUUUCUUUUUUUUUUUUUUUUUUUGAGACAGGCUCUCACUCUGUCACCCAGGUUGGAGUGCAGUGGUGCCAUCAUGGCUCACUGCAACCUCAGACUGCCAGGCUCGCAUGAUCCUCCCACCUCACUCUCCUGAAUAGCUGGGACUGCAGGUGCAUGACAUCAAGUCCAGAUGUGUUAACUUGUCUUUAAGCGGGCCACCAUCAAUUUGCUCAACUCCGGGAUAGUUGAACCUAGGCAGGCCUUAGUGACUUGUUUAAGUAAUAGAAUAUGUUGAAAAAUAUCUUUGGAGCUUCUGAAGCUAGGUUAUAAGAAGACUUGGAGCUUCUGCCUACGCCUCCUGAAACACCUACUCUUGGACCCCUGAGCCACCAUGCAAGAAAGUUUAGUCCCUGCUGGAAUGAGUUCAUGGAGAGGCUCUGAGUCUGUAUGGAGAGGGAGACAGGCCUAGCUGAGCCUACCUACUACCUGUGCCCACUAAAGCAUCAGGCAUAUGUAGUGAGAAGGUGGCCAUUCCCAACCCAAGGAGAGAACCCUCACCAGAUACUGACCCUGCUGGCAUCUUGAUCUUGGACUUCAAGGCUCCAGAACUG